rnacentral:rRNA from 1 species
ACGUCCACAGUUGCCAGCAUACCCUCCGGGUGAUGGGUACACUGUGGAGACCGCCGCUGCUAAAGCGGAGAAGGAGUGGGCAACGGUAGGUCAGUAUGCCCCGAAUCUCCCGGGCUACACGCGGGCUACAAUGGUUGGUACAAUGGGCAUCUACCCCGAAAGGGGAAGGAAAUCUCUUAAAAGCCAAUCGUAGUUCGGAUUGAGGGCUGCAACUCGCCCUCAUGAAGCUGGAAUCCGUAGUAAUCGCGUUUCAACAGAACGCGGUGAAUACGUCCCUGCCGUCCUU